rnacentral:lncRNA from 1 species
ACUAUUUUAUGUGUAACAAAGGUGUCCGCCAAGGUGAAAACUUAUCCCCUAUAUUAUUUGCAUUAUAUUUGAAUGACCUAGAACACUUUUUGGAAGACAAAAGCCUGCGGGGGCUUGAGAGUAUUUCUGAGGAAAUGGAGUCCAAGCUUCAAAUUUAUCUAAAAAUGUUUGUAAUCCUUUAUGCAGACGACACAGUACUAUUGGCAGAAAGUGCUGAUGAUUUACAGAAACAGCUGGAUUCUUUCAGUGAAUACUGUAAUGUUUGGAAGCUUAAAGUUAACGUCACGAAAACUAAAGUGAUGAUUUUUUCUAGAGGCAGAAUGCCGUCAAAAUUGCAUUUUGAUAUAGACGGCACGGACAUUGAAAUUGUUAAAGAAUUUAACUAUUUAGGCAUAUUAUUAUCUAGAACUGGUAAUACUAAAAUAGCACAGAAACACUUAGCAGAAAAAGCAACAAAAGCUAUGUUUAAUGUGUUGAAAGCAGGCCGCAUGCAUAAUCUUUCUAUUCAAUGUCACUUAGAUCUUUUUGAUAAAGUUGUGAAACCCAUACUUUUGUAUGGAUGUGAAAUUUGGGGGCAUGGUAAUGUUGAAAUUAUAGAAAGAAUCCAUCUGAAAUUCUGUAAACUUCUUUUGAAACUGAAAAAUUCCACACCUAACUAUAUGGUAUACGGUGAACUUGGUAGAUAUCCUUUGGACAUUGAUAUUAAAAUAAAAAUAGUGUCAUAUUGGUGUAAGUUAUUAUCCGCUAAAGAGACUAAGCUAUCUUCUAUCGCAUAUAGACUAUUAAAAACACUAUUUACUGUGAAUAAUGUAUGUACA